AGUUGCUUAGGACCUCACCAAGUUGAGGCUGGCCUCAAAUUUGUGCUCCUUCUACCUCAGUCUCCCAACUCACUGGGAUUACAGGUGGAUGCCACUGUGCUCAGCAUACAUCUAUAUCUAUAUAUUUGAACUAAACAAAUUGGCUCAUAUAAAGUGCCUAGAAAGUGUUUGUAGAAGAUCAUAGAGGCAAAGUCAGAUGAAGAUUCAGUGAGAAGGCAGUCAUCUUCAAAAAAGCCCUCACCAGGAAAUGAACUGGCUGGCAUCUUGAUCUUGGACUUCCUGGCCUGUAGAACUAUAAGAUUUCUGAUAUUUAAGCCACUUAGUCUAUGGUAUUUUGUUGUGUCAGCCCACGCCAGCCAAAACAAUGUAUCUCAAGUUUUGCACAGAUUAAUAAAGAUCCAUUCAAAAAAGAAUCAUCAUAACUAUAAGCUGUGUUUUGUUCUUAAGAUUAAGUACAAUCAACAUAGUCUGUAAUUCCUUUACAGUUUAGGAACAGUGACUUCUUUUAGAUUUGUCAAGUAACUAUUGGGAAACCCUCCAAUUUGUUUAAUUUUUCCAAAUUGUAAUUUGUAUAUUGGGAAUUGCUUGGAAUUUGGGAUCCUCUCCUGUUUUUGAAUUGAAAUAAAAGGUAUGUUACUGCAGGUGGAAACUCAUUCACUUAAUAGACUGGAAGUAGUGUUAAACAUGUAAUCGAUAUUUAAUUAUACUAAGGAAUUAUUGAUUAUGUUUAGCUCUGAUGUUUUGCUAUGAUUAAUUUUUUAAGAUACCGAAAAAUUUAAGAGAAAAUAUUGGUACCUAGAAUUUGUUUCAAAAUUUCAGAAUCAGGGCAAGGUGUAAAUAGUUCACAAUAUCAAAGAAACAAGUAGUCAGCAGAUGAUAAUUAUAGACACUGGAAGAUAGAUGCACAGAUUUCCUUUUUGUCUCUAUACUUAAACAUGUUUAAAUUUUCUAUAAUGAUUUUUAAUAUAAGUUAUGAUUGUGUAUAAUUAAUUACUACACUUAGGCUUUCACAUCUCAUCUUCCAUUAUUAUGUGUGGUUUGUUACUGCUAAUGUUAAUGUAUUAAAGAAUCUUCAAUUUAUGUGUCUUAGUAAGCAUGAAAAUUAAAAUGCUAAACAAUAGUACACAUUAAACUUCAUUUGCCAUACAUUUAUUUAGCAGCUGCUAAGUGCUUUCAUUGUAGGUUAUCUCAAAUCUCUGCAAGGUGAGUGUUACUACCCAUUUCACAAAUAAUAAAAUGUUGAUCCUAGAUAAAUAUUAUGCAGGUAGAAAAUAAGAAAAUUAUGAAUUUUACCCAUGUGAUUCCCAAAAAAAUUUAUAUUUUAUUUCUACCAGAUUAUGCUGCUUCUCAGACAUGGCUGACUGUCUUUUUCCCCAAUCUGUUUUCCUUUUGCAAGUGAAAGUCUGGCCCAACAAAUGGAAUAAAAUUCAUAUGUGAAAAUGUG